GACGAACGCUGGCGGCGUGCCUAACACAUGCAAGUCGAACGGGACCCGCAAGGGUUCAGUGGGCGAACGGGUGCGUAACACGUGAAGAAUUUAUCCAACGGCGGGGGAUAGCCGGCCCAACGGCCGGGUAAUACCGCGUACGACCCUCGGGGGGCAUCCCCUGAAGGUGAAAGCCGCAAGGCGCCGAUGGAGAACUUCGCGGCCUAUCAGCUAGUUGGUGAGGUCAUGGCUCACCAAGGCGACGACGGGAGCUGGUCCGAGAGGNUGACCAGCCACAUUGGGACUGAGACACGGCCCAGACUCCUACGGGAGGCAGCAGGUGGGGAAUAUUGCGCAAU
rnacentral:rRNA from 1 species